UGGGGAAUAAUGCACAAUGGGGGAAACCCUGAUGCAGCGACGCCGCGUGAACGAAGAAGGUAUUCGUAUCGUAAAGUUCUGUCCUAUGGGAAGAUAAUGACAGUACCAUAGAAGAAAGCUCCGGCUAAAUACGUGCCAGCAGCCGCGGUAAUACGUAUGGAGCGAGCGUUGUCCGGAAUUAUUGGGCGUAAAGGGUACGGAGGCGGUUUAAUAAGUCGAAUGUUAAAGAUCGGGGCUCAACCCCGCAAAGCAUUAGAAACUGAUAAACCUGAGUAGUGGAGAGGAAAGUGGAAUUCCUAGUGUAGUGGUGAAAUACGUAGAUAUUAGGAGGAAUACCAGUAGCGAAGGCGACUUUCUGGACACAAACUGACGCUGAGGUACGAAAGCGUGGGGAGCAAACAGG
rnacentral:rRNA from 1 species